GCCUCGCUUUAGAGAUCCAUCCCCACCGGGGCCGCUAGGUGGCGUCCCAGACAGUGCGCCGGCUUCAGCCACGAGGUGGCGCCCCAGAUAGUGCGCCGGCUUCAGCCACGAGGUGGCGCCCCAGAUAGUGCGCCGGCUUCAGCCACGAGGUGGCGCCCCAGACAGUGCGCCGGCUUCAGCCACGAGGUGGCGCCCCGGAUAGUGCGUCGGCUUCAGCCACGAGGUGGCGCCCCGGAUAGUACGUCGGCUUAAGUCAUCCCUUUGCAUUUGGGGAGAACUGGUUCCCUUCCUCAGCUGUAAAACGGGGAUAUAAUAGCACAUCUCCCCCUCUCCCCUCCCCCCCGGCCCCGCCAUCCGUGUCCUUCCGGGUGCUUUGCUUUGUCCCGGGCCGGCUGUCGCGGGCCCAGUUUCUGGCCCAGAGCGCAAAACCAGUUGGCUUGUCCGGGGCCCGCGGCCGCUCGGGCCCGGCUGGAGCCGCUCCCUUGACGGCGUCCUUCAGCAUAAUAUAAUAAUGAAACGCAUUAGAAAAAGUAACUCCGCACUUUCCCCUGAGGCGGCUGGAGCUAAGCGCCUUGCCCGGGUCACCCGGGGGUAACUCGCUAUCUCCGGGAGGCCGCUGGGGGGCGCACUCUCAGAUCAAGGCCCUGCCCCCGCUGCCGCCUUAGAUCCGGCGCUCCAUGUGCCAGGGUCCGCCGUGGUCUGUCAGCGGGGGUGACGCACAGGGCGCCCCGGAACAACGCAGGAGGGAGAGCUCCCGGCCAGGCCUCAAGCUCAGUUUCUCACUUGGCCCCUUUGGGGAAGUGGCCGCUCUGAGAAGAGGGGGGGGGGGGGGGAGGGGGGGGGGGGGGGGGAGGGAAAGAAAGAAAGGGGGACAAGAGGGGAGGUGAGUGAGAGGGGCUGGGAGGCAGAGAGCAGGAUACGGACGACCGCAGUCACAUUUAUAAAGCGCCCACUAAAUGCCAGGCGCUGUACAAAGUACCUUUCAAAGGUGAUCUCACUCGAUCCUCACAACAGCCUGCAGAGGAGGCGCUGCUAUUAUUCCCAUUUUACGGUGAGAAAACCAAGGCAGACAAACGGAACGACUACUCCAAGGUCACGCCGCUGGGGUGCGAGGUCGGAAUCCGCUCGCCAGCGUGUUGAGCGUUUGCUAGAAGCUUGGAACACAAAUCCCAAGGAAGGCAGCAGCUGCCUUCAAAAAGCUCCUAUUCCAAUGCGGGGCGCGCGGAAACAAGGCACACGGGGGAGGCGGGAGGGGAAGAGGACCCGCUCGCACUUUGGAGAGGGGCAGAUAAUGAGGGAGAGACCCGGAUGGCCAAGUCAGAAUUCGAACCCAGCCCCGGCCAUCAAGCAGGUUCCCCCAGCAGCCAAGAGGAACCGCAACCCUCGGGCACCCCAGUCCCACCGAUGGCUCCUUCUCUACAAUCCUGGACGUGCCACAUGUCCUUAGCCCUGUUACAGGGGAGGGAGGAGACACAGAAAGGAUAAUAAAAAAUAAAGCAAAUUUUCUAGAAGGGCUUGUGCACUCACCACCAAAACCACCGCCGGGGCCCAUUUUAAUAAUACUUGACCUCUCUCGACCAGUCUUGUAAAUUGUAAGGGACUACGUUGGUCAGUGAGUCAAAAGCAUUUAUUAAGCACCUACUGUAUGCAAGGGACCACUUUAAGUACCAAAAAACAGCCCCCACUCUCAAUGAGCCCCUUUCGCCCCCUCCCCCGGUGGCUCAGACACCAUACACAAGCUAUCGGCAGGAGAGCAGAGGGAACCAGACUGGGCCUGUGAUCAUACAUCCACAGGGACCUCCAUCUGGGGGAAGAGAGGGGCAGACCCCGGACCCCAGGGGCAGAGCUGCAGGAUGGCAACUGUGAGCAACCGACUAUUCCCUGGCUUUGCCGAGUGUGGGAAAAAAAAGCAGAAAAUGGAACAGAUCAAACCAUCCCCAUAGUGGGGGAUAAAACAGUUACUACAUUAUCCGGACCUUGGACCCUCCUGCUUGAGCAAAUCUGGAAGAAAAAGAAAGGUUCUGACCAGGGGGAAAUGUCAGGGCCAGGAGGGGCCUUAGAACAGGGGAUGUUAGAGCUGACAAGAACCUUAGAAUAGGGGGUGUCAGACCUGGGAGGGGCCUUAGAAUGGGGGAUGGCAGAGCUGAUAGGGUGUCAAGAACUGGAUGGAAGGUGGUAGAGAUUACCUCGUCUCACUUCCUCAUCUUACAGAUGGAGAAAGUGAGUCCCAUGGGGGGAAAGCUUUCCCAAGGUCACACCGUGACUCACAGGCAGGAUCAGAAAGAGCCCCAGUUUCCUGGGGUGACUGCUUUUCACUUUGGGGCCCCCAGCUGUUAGCUGAGCACCAGGCCCUGAGAGGGGCCCGGCUCCUGGCGGCAAGGGGCCCUUGUCUAGCAGGGGGAAGGAGGAGCUCUCUGUCAGGAGACAGAAUGGGCUUGUCUGCCAGGCCCAGGGGCAGAAAUAGGCGCAGGGUAUGAAGAUGCCAGGGGGCCACGGUGAGCUUGCUGGUCAGGCCGUGACUGAACAUGUGGCAGGGACGACCGUGGGGCAGGCCCCGCACUAUAUGUGGGGGCACAGAGAGAGCUAGAGACAGGCUGCCUCCGGAAGCUCCCAGGCCCACGUGCGAGGCACCAUGUAAGCCAGCCAAGGCAGGACAAACUGGGGAGGCCUCCGGGGGAGGCCCCGAGUAAGCUUGGAGGCAGAGGACAGGAGCUGGCCCAGGUGCACAGACAGGGCUGGGCUCCUCCUGCCCUUCUGCCCCUGGACCAUCUCUCCCAAUGGCAUCCAAUGCCAAGUAUUUUAGGAUCCAUAAAGAAGGAUGUUUCCUCAUGGACAUGGCUCCUUCCGAGGCCGAGGACUCAAGAGGGUGGCAGGAACCACACAGCAGGAGCCGGCGGACCAAGGUUCUAGGCCGGAGCUUUGCCCUGAACUUAGGCAAGGGACCCCCCUCCAGACACCAAUUUCUCAUCUGUACAAUGAGGCGCUGGGGCAUGUGACACUGAGGAACCCUUUAAGCUUGCACAGUCUCAGUUCUCCAUUCUAAUGUUCGCUGAUCUAAGAUCCUUCCUGACAUCCCCUGUUCUAAGCCUCCCCCCAGCCCUGACCCUCCUUAUUCUAAGCCCCUCCCCAGCCCUGACACCCUGUUCUAAGUCCUUUCCCACCUCAGAUGCCCCUGCUCUAAGGGCCGCAGGAGUGGAGGUUUCUCUGGCCCCCAGGCCUCCCUGUGGGACUGCACGUGGCUGAGCGUCCCUGCAUCAUGGGCUUGUCCCUGGAAGGGCCUUGGGGUCAGAGUCCACCCCUCCCUUUACGAGUGAGCAAACUGCCCCAAAGGUGGGAGGCCCUCGUCGGCUGGGACGGACCCGUCCUCUGCAACCAACUACGGGACGCCCCCGUUCCCCCUGAGCCUCAUGGGGGCAGCAAGCUCCAGAUCUCCCUCCCGCAGAGCCCCAGGGAAACCAUCGGAGGGGGCGAGUCGGGGAGCCGGUGGCUCAUCCUAAACGUACAACAGCCACUGUAGAAGAGGGGAUGUAACCCAGACUCCUCCUUGUUCUUCCCUGCCAGGGUCGGACUCCACCAUGGUGCGUUACCCUCCAUCCCCCAGGGGAGCCCGCAUCCCAAGCGCCUUCCGGGAAAGCCUGGCCCUCCCCCAGCUUCCCACCAGCCCUCAAGGGGAAAGAAUUCUGGACGAGGUUGGAAACCCCGCCCGGGCCUGGUCCCCCAGCACCCUUGCCUGAGAGCCGGAGGGAGAGCGAGCCUCUGCAGCCAGGCUGCCCCCCUCCCCCGGGGCUCACCUUCUGCCGGGCGCCGAGGGGGGGAACCUGGCCCGAGUCACCCCCUGGGCUGGGAAGCGGCGGAAGGAUGCGGAGCACAGACUUCCUAGUCCCAAGGCCCAUCAGUGUCAGGAGACUCCCCAGAGGCCCAGGGGGGCUCGCAGGGGAGGCAGACGCUCGCCAUGCAAAAAGGGCCGACUCACAGGAAACAAGCUUCACUUACCCAUCCUGACAACAGGGCCCCAGAAGCCGCCGGCCCGCCGGUCUGGUUUAAGGGCCCCAGUGCCCGCAGGUCUGGUUUAAGAGCCCCGGUGCCCGCCGGUCUGGGGUCUAAGGCCCUGCCAAGGCCCCGGAUGCCCACGCUCUGGGUUCUAAGGUUCCCCACCUCCGGACCUUCGGUGUUCUCAAUAACAAUCUCAGACGAUCAAAAACCAAACGAAGGCCGGUUCCAAAUCACUAACAAUAAGAGAAAUGCAAAUCGAGGUAAUUCCGAGGUCUCCCCGCGCACCUGACCAACUGCAGAGAUGGCAUGACGGACAGCUGGGGGGGGGCGGUCCCGGGAGCCUCUCCGGCCAAUUGUCCGAGGGCUCGUGACCUUUGACCCGAGGUCCCCCCCCUCCCCGGGGGGCAGGAAUGGGAAGGCGGUAGGUGCCACAGAGACUGUCAGAGAAGCAUUUGGGGGAUGGAGAAGAUGGCAGGAAAGGAGAGAGCAAGCGCCCCCCGGCCGGGGAACCUCAGCGCCAACGGCAAGCACGGGCACGGCCCUGCUGUGGUAAUGGCCCAUGGGAAGAUGGACGCCCCCGCCCCCCGGGACGCUAGGACAGCAAGGCCGCUAGGGGGCGCCAGAGGGGAUAGCGCGCCAUUCCUGAGGACGACCACUCUGGGGCGGGAGGAGGAGACCAGAGGCCCCGUGAUCUGCCCCCGUGACAGGAGGGCCUGGUGGAAGGCGGCCCGUGCCGGCGUCAGUCACCAUAAAGCACCUACUGUGCUCCGAGCGGCGCCCUGGGUCCCUGCUCUCGGGAGCCGGGGAACUUGGAGCCAGGAGAUGCUCUCUCCCCCCCCCCCCCCCCCCCCCCCCCCCCCCCCCGCCCCCCCCCCGGUCUUUCCUCGACUUCAGUUCCUGCUCUGUAAAACGGCCUCGAAGGUCCUUCCGGGCUCCCCCAUAAACUUGCUGAGGACCCGUCCCGGGCACCCGAGAAAACCUUCCCGCUGCCGGGUCUCGGCUCCCUCGCAGCCCAGCCUCCCCAGGACAGGCUCCCUCAGGGGCCGGGGGCGCGCGGGCACAGCCGCGGAGGGCCGGAGACUCCGAAGCCAGAGGCCCAGAAAGGACUCCACGGCUUUGGGUGAAUCCGCCUGCUCGUCCUUGGCAGGGGGGGGGGGGGAACACGGCACCUGCAAGGGCCCCCCCCACACACACACGUCAUUCCUCCACCGCCCGAGGGUCGGGCCCCGGGGACAGGGGGGAAGCCGCCCCCGCUCCCGGAGAGCCCGCAGGCCGGUGAGGGGCGCAGCCCGGGGGAGCGCCGCUGGCGUCGGGAGGAGAGCUUGGGCCGCCCGAGAGCCCCGGAAAGCAAGAAGGGCUCAGAGCGGCGGCGGCUCCCGGGCAGGCUACAAGAGGGCGCGGGGCCCCACCGUGAGGCUGAGCUUAGGACCCGUUUCCCGCGGCCGUCACCGGGGCUGGCGGGGGUCCCGGCUGUACUUGGGGACGACCCCUGCGGCAGCGGUGAGGAGCCCGGGCUGGAGGGGCCAGAGGCGAGGCCGUGUCCAGGCAGGGCUGCGGGCAGUGUCCAGGGAAGACCUCCCAGUUCCGGGCCCCUCCGUUGUAAGAGACGGCGCCUCCUAGAGCUCCCGGAGGCCCCCGGGGACUUGGCGGGGCUCUCCCGGCCUCUGGGGGGGGGGGAGGGGGGGAAGGAGGGAGAAGGGGAGCACCGAGAAGAGAAGGGGGGGAGUCCUCGGCUGAGAGGAGGUAAGAGGGGCUCCGGUGGAGGGAGGGGCGGGUCAAGGAAGGAAGAGAAGGUUUAAGUUGCUUUUGUGGGAAUAAGAGGGAGUCAAGGAGCCACCAAAGAAGCGCCUGCUGCAAAUCCCGCCAGGGUAACGCCAAGAAACCCAGGCAGUGGGAACUCAGGGCUCCUUGAACCUCCAGACCAACACUCAGUGCACUGGGUACAACCGUUCUCCCGCCCCCCACCUCCCCAGGAGCCCGUCAGUUCCUUAGCUGUUCUCCCCAAGUGAGAUCAGUCCCCCCUCUGACCUCUGACCUCUCCCGCACGGGGCCUCCCCGUUCCCUGAGCCCUGUGUUUCACCCUCUGAACAAACCCCGCCGUUCCAUGUUCCGGGCGGCCUCCUCCGGGAAGCCCCCCUCAAACAGCUCCACCUUUGCCUUUACUUCCCCCUCUCAGCAACUGCUAGUGGAUGCGAGAGGGGAGGCUCCCUGCAGCCAGGAGAUGUUUCUUUCGGCACCAAGCCCGGUCCUGGGGGCGCUCAACAAACGCACACACGGACUCGCUGAGAGCGUGAGGUCUCCCCCACAUUAUUGGGGUCCCCUCAGCCACUGGAACCCAGGUUCUGCCCUGCCCCCGCUCUGAGUUGGCAAGGGCUGGGUCCACAAGUCCUUGGUAAGCAGCAUGUGACGGCGGCAGACACUUUUGUUGUGCUUUGGAAUAUAAUGAAUUUUUAAAAGACAAGUGUCUCCAAAAUGUCUUUUAGAGCCCGGCCUGCCUGCCUGCCGUGGGGACCGUGCCGUCCAAGGGCCAGGUUUGCUUUGUUGUUAUCAAGAACAUUCCUUGCAAGCUGUGACUCCUUUCUGGCCUCAGUCUAUUCCCCUGUAAAAUGGGGGAGUCGGGCCUGAGGUCCCUUCCUGCCCGAGACCCAGGCCAUGAGUGAACCCUCGGGCUCCUCAUCUAUAAGUGAGCUGGAGAAGGAAAGAGCAAAUCACCGAGAAGACCCCAAACCGGGUCACAAAGAGUCAGCCACGAUGCGGACAACUGAACCCCACACACACCACACGACGGCUCAAGGAAGUUCACAUGAGCAUAGAUCGAAACAGCCCACGUGCAUAUGGCCCGCCAAGGUUUGCAGGACCUUCACCCUGCCCCUUUCACAGAUGAGCAAACUGAGGCAGUCAGAGGUAAAGGGACCUGCCGGGGUGGCAACUCGGGCCCAGUGCUCUGAGCCAUAGCUCAGGGAGGAAGGGAGGAAAGCGAGAAUGAGAGAAAGGGGGAGGAAAGCCCAGCAGCGGCGGUGCUCCCCCCCACCCUCACUCCCCGCCUAACAGCCUACAGGCCCCUGCUCGGCUCAGGCUGGGGGUGGGGGCCAGGAAGUCUUCCCCAACAUGCUCCGGGGCCGGGCGCCCCCCCUCCCCACUCUCCCCUUGGCCCCCAGUGGGCCAUGUCUCAAGGAGUUUCAUGGAAAUCAUUUCCAGACAUUCCCUGCUCUGGAGCUGGAAGGAGGAGAGCAAAGGGGGAGGCGGGGGGAGGGUGGAGGGCAAAAACCAGAUUGGAAGUGGAGAGAUUAGGACGGGGGAGGGGCAGGCUGGCAAGGAGAGUGGGGGAGGGGGGAUGGAAAGAAGGGACAUAGAUGGGGGAUGGGGGAGGGAGCAGGAUUCUGGGAGGAGGAAGGAGCAAGGGAAAGAGGAGGGGGAGAGGGUAGGAUUCUGGGAGGAUGGGGGGAGGGGAGGGAAAAGGAGGGAGCAGGAUUCUGGGAGGAGGAGGGGGGAAGGAAAGGAGGAGCAGGGGAGGAUUAAGCAGGGAAAGUCAGCGGCUAAAGGCAGGGCUGCGACUUUGGAUAACCACGCUGCCUCAGUUUCCUUCUCCGCAAAAGGGCUCAAGACAAAAAACAGCCCAUCCCUACGGGGACUACAGUGAUGGUCUUCCACACUCUGAGCAACUGACAGCCCUUCUGUCCCAAAGGAGAAGCGGAGCCACACUGGCAGCCGGGGCCACACUCCCGGUGCUUUUAGCUGCUUUUCCCAGUUACCGGGGGAAGGGGGCGCACAGGGAAGGACGGGUAUUUCCACUAAGUGGAGUAAAAAUCCUCGAUUUGGGGGGAGUGUGGGGAGGUCAGAUAAAAGGUUGUUAAGGUCCCUCCCCGCUCGAGCGAGCCUCCCCCAUCCCCCACCGGCCCAGUGGCAGGCGCGUGGCUUGGGUUCGGCUCUCCCCUCUUCACGUCCCUCGGACCCUGGGCUACGGGCACCUUGGACUUAGCCAAAAAAUGAUGUCGUGAGUCAGUCUCCUGGGAUGGGAUGGGCUCCUGGGGGCUCUGCCCUCCCUCUCAGACACCCCCAAGUUAGUGGGCAGCAGACCUCUGGGGAACAAGGAGGGCACUGUUUGCCAAGCGUGGGCACAUCAUGCCACCUUCAAAGCUAGGAAGAUUUGGUAAACGAUGAGGGCGUCAGAAAAAAGGGGACAGGGGAGCAGGCCCGGAAAGCCCCGGCCCACUGGGGGCACAUCUGUAAAGAGGGGGAAGGAAAGGGGCCGUGACUGGGACACAGCAUCUCCAGAGCCUGCACGAAUUUGCAGGGAGAGCUCAGCCAGUCUCAUUACUCUCAGAUAAGGAAAACUAAGGCCCAGGAAGGUCAAGAGCUAGUGACAGAGCUAGAACAAAGAGCCCAGGCCUCUGGGAGAGCCUACUGUGCCAUGUUUUCUCCCUCCAUGAGCUGGGGCCUGAGUUCAAAUCCCUUCUUGGAUAAUUUGCCAUCUCUUUUGGAGGAUUUUUCAGCAGAGAUACCAGAAGGCGUGGCCAUCUCCUCCUCCUGCUUAUUUUACAGAUGAGGAAACUGAGGCAGCUAUCCAGGGUCACAGAGCCAGUCGGUGCCUGAGGCCUUCCUGACUGGACAGCUACCCAGCUGCCUUGCUUCUUUCUUGUCUGUAAACGAGUCGCUUCGCUGUCCGGUGCCUCAGUUUUCCUCCUUGUAAAAUCAGGAGGCUAGACAUGAUCCACAGAGCACUGCGGUACUUCUGUUACUCUACAAACUGAUUGUCCUCCUCAUCACGGCAUCUCAUCCGAUGGUCCCCAAAGUCUCUUCCAGCUCAAAAGCUAAGAUUUCAGCAUCCUUCGGGCAUAGAGUGGUGAGUGUGAGAGGGAUCACUCCAUUUGACAAAGAAGGAAACUGAGGCUUUGGAGGCUGGCCCAGCCUGGGCAUCAGGGCCCGAAUUCCACCCCAUGUCUGCUGGCUCCAAGAUCAGAGUAAGGAGGGCAAGCAGGAGGAGGGAGAGGGCCUUGGGAAGGGGGGAUCAGCCUGUCCAAACAGACCGAGGGGCAAGGAGACCCCCCUGGACCCUGCCCCGUGGGCUCCAAGCCUUCUGGUGAGUGUGGGCCGGCUUUCUCCUCCGGCAGCUCCCACUGAGCCGUGCCCGGCCUCCCGCCGGCUCCCUGGCCGAGGCUCUGGGAUCCGGUGCCAGGGUCACUUCUGCUUUGCUGCAAAGGCCUGAGCAGACUGGCCAGAACACAGGCUUCCAGCCGCCGGCCCUCGGGAACACGCUGAUGCUCAUAAAACUCCAAGCAGACUCUGCGGGAACAGCUGUUGGCUGGCAAGGUUUGAAACAAAGUGGCCCCGGCCUGGUGCGGGUGGGCGGGAGGGGGUCACUGUGGCCUCCAGGAAGGCCUCGGGCCAAAUCAGAGCCUCUGGGGGCCAGCGGGGGCCUCUGGUCUGCACCCAAAGCCUCCCCGGACUACAGCUCAGGCCCAAUGGCAGAGCACUCACUGGGAGGCUGGAGGAACUGGAUUCAAAUGUUCCCCCAGACGGGCCCCCACCAGCCCUGGACAAGCUCCCUCGCGAGCUCCCUUCCGGCUCUAGACCAGCCUCCCAAGAAGACCUUCAAGGAGGGAGAAUCCGCAGGCUCCCAGUGCAGGCCGGACUGCUGCCUCUGGUAAAGUAAAGUUUGGCUGGAGUCUUGUUUCCCAUCAGAGCGACUGCCGGCCAGGACACCCCCCACCCCCACCCCCCGAGCCAUGCCCUGUAACAAAACAGGAAAAUAGCAGCCAGGGUAGCAGGUUCGGGGCCCCGGGGGGCCGAGGUACGGAGCACUCUGCAGCCAUUGCCCCCCCCACAAAUGAGAAGACGGAGAGACAGGAGUGAGAGAGACGCAGACCAAGAGAAGAGAAAGAGACCAGCCUCUGAGGAAAGGCCGGAGCUGCCGCCCUCCUUCUCUGAGGGGCCGAUCUCAGGGCUCAUUUGCUUUGUUUCCCCCUUCUGUUCUUGGCUGUCAUGAAGAAGGGGUCCUCCCUCCCCCAGGUGUCAGGCCUAAUUCUGCCUUCUCGCCCAAUCCCAUCUCUGCCUGCCCUGACUCCCGGUUCUGGGACCAGAGAACAAGGACAGAUCUGACUCCACUUGAAGCCCCGUUCACUACUGGAAGAUACCCUCCCCCCGGUCCCAUCUCUCAGGGUUUUGGGGGCGCCUCAUCGGCCGUCUCAUUUACAGCCAGAGCAGGAGGCCGGCCGCUCUCCCUUCUGAACUCUGGGCCUGCCCUCAGACCAUCCUCCCCCCAGAAUGGCCGCCUUCCCUGCGGAUCCCCAGCUUCUG
ensembl:lncRNA